UACAGAGGUCCCAAGCGUUGUUCGGAUUCACUGGGCGUAAAGGGUGCGUAGGUGGCUUGGUAAGUUCGAUGUGAAAUCUCCGGGCUUAACCCGGAAAUGGCAUUGAAUACUAUUGAGCUGGAGGUUUGGAGGGGGGACUGGAAUUCUCGGUGUAGCAGUGAAAUGCGUAGAGAUCGUAAGGAAGGCCAGUGGCGAAGGCGAGUUCCUGGACAGUUACUGACGCUGAGGCACGAAGGCCAGGGGAGCAAACGGG
rnacentral:rRNA from 1 species